UGGCCGGUCGUGGCCCGAGAGCACACACAGAUCUAAAAUUAAAUCUGCCCACUAGCAGGCCGGCAGCAUUAUGUGCACCGCUGGCCUCCUCUACGCCGGCAGAUCGUCACUUCAUCAUUUAGCGUAUCGUGUCCUUCGGUUGGCCUACGCCGCCCCACCACAAGAAAAUGGUCUCCGUGUGUGGCGAAGGGAACUGCAGCGGAUAAAAACAACCGAAAUUGAUGUGUCAAAAACACACCGAAAUGUGUUACAUUGAGAAUUGGCAUGAUAAACGUUUCGAUCUCACGACUUGAGACGUUCUCUGUGUGUGUGUGUGUGUGUGUGUGUGUGUGUGUGUGUGAUGGUGAGGAAGGGCUGACGAUAUAAUUAUUUACACGAUCUACGAGAUCGUAUUUAUGUAACACAUUUAGCACGAUGAUAUUAUUUGCACAUAAUUCCAAACUUCAAUUUAUAUGCUGGCAAAAAGGUAAACAAGACCCUUCGAGACACGCUGCAAGUUCCGGCACUUGCUGCGUCCUCUUUUGCUGGUGUGUAGGUGGGUAGUUAAAGGCCUCCUGCCCUACAAGCCUCGGCGCGAAUUAGAUAAACCCAUAGGCGGUGCUGCUCCACACAGCUGGAAAUUGUAACAAAAUGUUCAUUAUUUUACGACUGCUUUACUUCACGGUAAAUAAUGUGUGUCAUUAGCGGGCCAGCCACUUGGGUGGGUGAGUGGGUGGGCAGAAGAAUGUUUACAAUACACGGCGCGACACCCUGUGUCACAGCCUCUGUAAACAUGGCGCGCGAGCGCGUGAAUGGGAAGACGCAGCAGCCAUCUUCCGCCAUCUUCUCGUGUUCCUAGGUUCCACUAGCGUCGCUACUGUCUUGACCGAAUCGACCGAAAAACGAGUUCGGAAAAGCAAACGUUUGCCCCGGCUGGGUAAGGUGUCCCAAAACGGUGUGUCGCUUGGCACCACCAACCAUCUCCAGUGCGGUGGUGUUGUUCCCGCGCAAUGUCGCUACCGGUGUUGGUGCCGUUUAAAGGAAAAUUACUACACUAAUUAUAUGCCUGCCCUGGCCGCCGAGGGACGGUGGAGCGUAGUCUGUGGGCCUGAUAACAAGAUAAUUUUGUAACCACUUUUCACCGUUCGCGACCGCCCGCGUGGCGUGGCGAGUGGCUGGGUAAGACGCAACCGAACGGUGUGUUUGUUGACAUAAUUUGUGGAAUGUACAUAGAUCCGUGGACAAUUAAUUGGUUUCCGAGUCAAUUUGGGGGGCGGAAGUCAUCGUUGGAGGUGAAUCGUGAAGAGUUUACGGGAAACAUGACCGACCGACCGAACGUGUGUGUGUGGGUGUGUGUGUUGACUCAACGGAUUCUGUGGGGCAGAGCAGAUGAUUCGAAGGCAUUUCCGGGGUUUAAAUAAAUGUAUCAUUAAUGUGGUACACCACCACUAAUGAAAUCGCAUCACACAGAGCUCUGUACGUGGUUGCUGUAGAACGAAACCUCUUCCUCUUGUCGUAGUAUUUCUUGGAAGAUAUCGUAGUUUGCGAAGCGGGAAAAAAGCAUCCCCAUCCGUAGCAAAUAAAUUGAAGCCAUUUUAUAGAACGACGCUCGCGAGCAAAGAAUCCCGCUUUCCCGAUAAGUGGUUCAGAAUCGCAGAUGCUUUGGUGCAGUGAAUUAUGGAAUUAAUUAAAACUUUU